GACGAACGCUGGCGGCGUGCUUAACACAUGCAAGUCGAACGGAAAGGCCAGGAGGGUGUGGGGUGCUCGAGUGCGAAGGGGUGAGUAACACGGGAGUAACCUGCCCGUGACUUGGGGAGAAGGGCAGGAAACUGGGGCGAAUAGAGGAUAGGAGGGGCGGCUGCAUGGUGGGGGUUGGAAAGUUUCGGCGGUUGGGGAUGGACGCGCGGCGGAGCAGCUUGUUGUGUGGGUAGUGGCUUACCCCGGCUUUGACGGGUAGCCGGCCUGAGAGGGUCCCAGGGCACAUUCCCACUGAGAUCCUCCCCCGAGUCGUCCGGGAGGCAGCAGUGGGCGCUAGUGCACAAUGGGCGGAAGCCUGAUGCAGACACUCCGCUUGCGGGAUGACGGCCUUCGGGUUCUAAACCUCUUUCGCCUGUGACGAAGCGUUCCUGCCGGUAAUGGGUAAAGAAGCACCGGCUAACUACGUG
rnacentral:rRNA from 1 species